UGCAAGUCGAACGGUAGCACAGAGAGCUUGCUCUCGGGUGACGAGUGGCGGACGGGUGAGUAAUGUCUGGGAAACUGCCUGAUGGAGGGGGAUAACUACUGGAAACGGUAGCUAAUACCGCAUAACGUCGCAAGACCAAAGAGGGGGACCUUCGGGCCUCUUGCCAUCAGAUGUGCCCAGAUGGGAUUAGCUAGUAGGUGGGGUAACGGCUCACCUAGGCGACGAUCCCUAGCUGGUCUGAGAGGAUGACCAGCCACACUGGAACUGAGACACGGUCCAGACUCCUACGGGAGGCAGCAGUGGGGAAUAUUGCACAAUGGGCGCAAGCCUGAUGCAGCCAUGCCGCGUGUAUGAAGAAGGCCUUCGGGUUGUAAAGUACUUUCAGCGGGGAGGAAGGUGUUGUGGUUAAUAACCACAGCAAUUGACGUUACCCGCAGAAGAAGCACCGGCUAACUCCGUGCCAGCAGCCGCGGUAAUACGGAGGGUGCAAGCGUUAAUCGGAAUUACUGGGCGUAAAGCGCACGCAGGCGGUCUGUCAAGUCGGAUGUGAAAUCCCCGGGCUCAACCUGGGAACUGCAUUCGAAACUGGCAGGCUGGAGUCUUGUAGAGGGGGGU
rnacentral:rRNA from 1 species